GGGUUGUGAGGUUAAGCGACUAAGCGUACACGGUGGAUGCCCUGGCAGUCAGAGGCGAUGAAGGACGUGCUAAUCUGCGAUAAGCGUCGGUAAGGUGAUAUGAACCGUUAUAACCGGCGAUUUCCGAAUGGGGAAACCCAGUGUGAUUCGUCACACUAUCAUUAACUGAAUCCAUAGGUUAAUGAGGCGAACCGGGGGAACUGAAACAUCUAAGUACCCCGAGGAAAAGAAAUCAACCGAGAUUCCCCCAGUAGCGGCGAGCGAACGGGGAGCAGCCCAGAGCCUGAAUCAGUGUGUGUGUUAGUGGAAGCGUCUGGAAAGGCGUGCGAUACAGGGUGACAGCCCCGUACACAAAAAUGCACAUACUGUGAGCUCGAUGAGUAGGGCGGGACACGUGGUAUCCUGUCUGAAUAUGGGGGGACCAUCCUCCAAGGCUAAAUACUCCUGACUGACCGAUAGUGAACCAGUACCGUGAGGGAAAGGCGAAAAGAACCCCAGCGAGGGGAGUGAAAAAGAACCUGAAACCGUGUACGUACAAGCAGUGGGAGCACGCUUAGGCGUGUGACUGCGUACCUUUUGUAUAAUGGGUCAGCGACUUAUAUUCUGUAGCAAGGUUAACCGAAUAGGGGAGCCGAAGGGAAACCGAGUCUUAACUGGGCGUUAAGUUGCAGGGUAUAGACCCGAAACCCGGUGAUCUAGCCAUGGGCAGGUUGAAGGUUGGGUAACACUAACUGGAGGACCGAACCGACUAAUGUUGAAAAAUUAGCGGAUGACUUGUGGCUGGGGGUGAAAGGCCAAUCAAACCGGGAGAUAGCUGGUUCUCCCCGAAAGCUAUUUAGGUAGCGCCUCGUGAAUUCAUCUCCGGGGGUAGAGCACUGUUUCGGCAAGGGGGUCAUCCCGACUUACCAACCCGAUGCAAACUGCGAAUACCGGAGAAUGUUAUCACGGGAGACACACGGCGGGUGCUAACGUCCGUUGUGAAGAGGGAAACAACCCAGACCGCCAGCUAAGGUCCCAAAGUCAUGGUUAAGUGGGAAACGAUGUGGGAAGGCCCAGACAGCCAGGAUGUUGGCUUAGAAGCAGCCAUCAUUUAAAGAAAGCGUAAUAGCUCACUGGUCGAGUCGGCCUGCGCGGAAGAUGUAACGGGGCUAAACCAUGCACCGAAGCUGCGGCAGCGACGCUUAUGCGUUGUUGGGUAGGGGAGCGUUCUGUAAGCCUGUGAAGGUGUGCUGUGAGGUAUGCUGGAGGUAUCAGAAGUGCGAAUGCUGACAUAAGUAACGAUAAAGCGGGUGAAAAGCCCGCUCGCCGGAAGACCAAGGGUUCCUGUCCAACGUUAAUCGGGGCAGGGUGAGUCGACCCCUAAGGCGAGGCCGAAAGGCGUAGUCGAUGGGAAACAGGUUAAUAUUCCUGUACUUGGUGUUACUGCGAAGGGGGGACGGAGAAGGCUAUGUUGGCCGGGCGACGGUUGUCCCGGUUUAAGCGUGUAGGCUGGUUUUCCAGGCAAAUCCGGAAAAUCAAGGCCGAGGCGUGAUGACGAGGCACUACGGUGCUGAAGCAACAAAUGCCCUGCUUCCAGGAAAAGCCUCUAAGCAUCAGGUAACAUCAAAUCGUACCCCAAACCGACACAGGUGGUCAGGUAGAGAAUACCAAGGCGCUUGAGAGAACUCGGGUGAAGGAACUAGGCAAAAUGGUGCCGUAACUUCGGGAGAAGGCACGCUGAUACGUAGGUGAAGCGACUUGCUCGUGGAGCUGAAAUCAGUCGAAGAUACCAGCUGGCUGCAACUGUUUAUUAAAAACACAGCACUGUGCAAACACGAAAGUGGACGUAUACGGUGUGACGCCUGCCCGGUGCCGGAAGGUUAAUUGAUGGGGUUAGCGCAAGCGAAGCUCUUGAUCGAAGCCCCGGUAAACGGCGGCCGUAACUAUAACGGUCCUAAGGUAGCGAAAUUCCUUGUCGGGUAAGUUCCGACCUGCACGAAUGGCGUAAUGAUGGCCAGGCUGUCUCCACCCGAGACUCAGUGAAAUUGAACUCGCUGUGAAGAUGCAGUGUACCCGCGGCAAGACGGAAAGACCCCGUGAACCUUUACUAUAGCUUGACACUGAACAUUGAGCCUUGAUGUGUAGGAUAGGUGGGAGGCUUUGAAGUGUGGACGCCAGUCUGCAUGGAGCCGACCUUGAAAUACCACCCUUUAAUGUUUGAUGUUCUAACGUGGACCCGUGAUCCGGGUUGCGGACAGUGUCUGGUGGGUAGUUUGACUGGGGCGGUCUCCUCCUAAAGAGUAACGGAGGAGCACGAAGGUUGGCUAAUCCUGGUCGGACAUCAGGAGGUUAGUGCAAUGGCAUAAGCCAGCUUGACUGCGAGCGUGACGGCGCGAGCAGGUGCGAAAGCAGGUCAUAGUGAUCCGGUGGUUCUGAAUGGAAGGGCCAUCGCUCAACGGAUAAAAGGUACUCCGGGGAUAACAGGCUGAUACCGCCCAAGAGUUCAUAUCGACGGCGGUGUUUGGCACCUCGAUGUCGGCUCAUCACAUCCUGGGGCUGAAGUAGGUCCCAAGGGUAUGGCUGUUCGCCAUUUAAAGUGGUACGCGAGCUGGGUUUAGAACGUCGUGAGACAGUUCGGUCCCUAUCUGCCGUGGGCGCUGGAGAACUGAGGGGGGCUGCUCCUAGUACGAGAGGACCGGAGUGGACGCAUCACUGGUGUUCGGGUUGUCAUGCCAAUGGCACUGCCCGGUAGCUAAAUGCGGAAGAGAUAAGUGCUGAAAGCAUCUAAGCACGAAACUUGCCCCGAGAUGAGUUCUCCCUGACCCUUUAAGGGUCCUGAAGGAACGUUGAAGACGACGACGUUGAUAGGCCGGGUGUGUAAGCGCAGCGAUGCGUUGAGCUAACCGGUACUAAUGAACCGUGAGGCUUAACCUUACAACGCCGAAG
rnacentral:rRNA from 1 species